rnacentral:tRNA from 1 species
GUCGCGGUGGAGAAGGAGCUCGGCCUUUCCGGCAAGAAGGACAUCGAGGAGUUCGGUGUCGCCGAGUUCAACGCCCGUUGCCGCG